AACUCUGUUGUAGACGCAACUGGCGAGUUACUGGCAGCCAACACGACAGAGGCCACUGACCUCAUGGACUCCUACAGCAGAAACUACCAGAACAAAAUCCAGGCCCAGAUGACCCCUCAGCAGACCCCUGCAGAAAUGGCUUCCAAUCACAGGUGCCAGCUGCUGAUUCGAGAAGCUCUAAGCGGGAAGAGUCCUGGUGCUUAUGCCGAGCUGUUUCAGAGAAGUGCACCCACAGCUCCAUCAUCAUUAACCUCUCAGUCCCGGCCCCCACCCGGCCCCUCUUCCUCCCCAAUGCGUCCUGUUGGCCUCAGCGCUCCUGACCCCGAUGAGGACAGCAGGUAUGCCACACACACCUUGACAUUUUCACCUCUGACCU
rnacentral:lncRNA from 1 species